UACCGUUUAUCAAAAAAAAAGAUGAAGCGACGAGCAGCGCGAGCGCUGUACGAACUGCUGCGGCUCGUCGACGGCGGCGAGGAUCCGGUGCGCAUGGAGGGAAUCGUUUGGCGGCAGCAGUUCGCGCCAUCUUCCCCGAAAAAUCCCCUCCUCUCUUGAUAAAAUCCCCCCGCGCGGUGCUCCUCUCCUACCUGAUGCCACCAUGGCGCGGCAGGCAGAGAAGGCGGUGGCGGCGGCCCGAGGUGCUCUGCGCACGGCGCUGCGGCAGGCACGGGUGCGGUGGCCUGCGGACCCAGCAGUGGUGGCAAGAGGGCGAGGCCCCGCCCGUGCAUCUCAACGCCUAGCCGCAGCCUGUGGGACAGCGGAAGCCUCCCCACCGCAGCUCAAGCCCAUGCUCGCUCGCGGCACGGCCGCCGAGAUCUCCCCACCGUCGCCGAGGCCUCCAUGGCGCCGCUCGCCCACGAUGUCUCCUCUGCUCGCUCUCGUAGGGGCUCCGUGCCUCCAUGGGGCUAGUGGCACAUCCAAUUUUAGUUUUCGCCAACGCCUAGACCUGAUCCAGGUCCUUUUCAUGGCCUCCCCGAGCACGACGCUUCUAGCUUGACGCACAGGCACCAGCUCAGCAAAGGAGCAAAAGGAGGCAACACAGAUGAAAAGUAGAUCAUGCAGAUACUAUGAAGUAUUUGAAACAGAACUUAUUUGCUAAGAAUUGAGAGGGAAGCGUUUGGACCUGGUGUUUAAGGAUCUGCUGGAUUUUUAUGAACCGAGUAUCUUCUGCAAGUGUAAACUAUCAUCUUUUAUUUAUUUAUUUGCCUCCAUCUGUGAACAAGUGUGAACUGAUGGAUGCAUGUAUGCUCGUGUGAAAUAACAUGUCUGGGUGCUUGCAUUCCCUUGUGAUUAUUAUGGUAUGGUUGCAACACAAUGUUCUAGUGCAGUGGAAAUUCAAGUGUCGUGCUGCCUGCAUACAUUCCUUUGUGUAUUUUUAUGUAUAUAAGCAGUUAGUAAAGUAUUAGAAUAUAUUUAUUCCAUUCUCUACUCCAUGGAACCUACUUUGCCUGACGAA